ACACACACACAGGCGUGUCAUUUAGGUGGGUGUGGCUCCUAGAGCAAGGAAGUUUGUAUGUGCAAUGAACUGUGACCACAAUCUGAAGAAGGAGGACAUGCACAGUGUCUGAGGACAUGAACUUCUGGUGACAUGGACGUGUAGGAACCACGAGUGUCUGUCAAUAAGAGUCUCCAAGAGGCUGAAGGUCUCCGAGGUUGGACAACUAAUCUGGAGUUCAUAUAAACGGAGAAAGAUUUUGGAGAAAGAUGGGUCUUCUGAAGCUUCUGAAAACCCAAUUUUUGUGCCACCUAAUCAUGUGCUACGUGUUCCUGGUGAGCGGCCUUAUUGUCAACCUGUUGCAGCUCUGUACUUUACCUCUGUGGCUGGUCAAUAGGCAGCUGGCCCGCAGGAUCAACAUCAGACUGUGCUACUGCGUCUGCAGCCAAAUGGUAGCAGCCUUCGAGUGGUGGUCUGGCACAGAAGUCAGACUUUACGCCGAUCCAAAGAGUGUCCUGCAGUUUGGAAAUGAGAACGCUAUUGUGGUUCUCAACCACGGCUUUGAGAUAGAUUUUCUCUGUGGAUGGACCUUAUGUGACAGAUUCGGAGUCCUUGGGAGCUCAAAGGUAAUGGCCAAAAGGGAGCUGGCUUAUGUGCCCGUGAUUGGCUGGAUGUGGUACUUCCUGGAGAUGAUUUUCUGCAAAAGGAAGUGGGAGGAGGACCGAAGGAUGGUGACUCAGUGUCUUCAGAACCUGCGGGAUUACCCAGAACACUUCUGGUUCCUGCUUUUCUGUGAAGGAACUCGCUUCACACCAAAGAAACACCAAAUCAGCAUGCAGGUGGCCGAGAGCAAAGGUCUCCCAAAACUCAAGUACCAUCUCCUGCCCAGAACCAAAGGAUUCUGGGUAACUGUCCAGAACCUCAGAGGAGCUGCUGCAGCCGUUUAUGAUGCCACCCUCAACUUCAGGGACAAUGAAACACCGACCCUUCGUGGAGUUCUGAACGGGAAGAAGUAUCAUGCAGAUCUGUAUGUAAGGAGGAUUCCUCUGGAUUCGAUACCAGAGGAUGAGGGGGAGUGUGGGGCCUGGCUCCACAAACUUUACCAGGAAAAGGACAGCUUUCAGGAGUACCACGCGCAGACGGGACGCUUCCCCGGCCCCACAGUGAGCCCUCCACGUCGACCGUGGGCCCUGAUCAACCUUCUGUUCUGGUCCUGCCUGGUCCUCUACCCUCUGGGACUCCUCAUCACUCAGCUGAUCAGCUCCGGAUCACUUCUUACCAUCUUGGCUUCCGUCGUCGUCUGCUCUGCAGCUUCGGUGGGAGUUCGCUGGAUGAUUGCCCAGACUGAGAUUGACAGUGGAUCAAAUUACGGGAAUAAGGAUGUUCCUCUAAAAAACAAAUGAGUUGAUAAUUCCCCAGAGCUACUUCCCGGCAGAGCUACUAAACUGCACACUGCCAGCUGCAGGAGUCGGUUAAUCCAGCAAGCUCAGAGCUGCUUCAAAAGCGCAGCACAGACGGGGCUGAUUCAUCUUAAUGCUAUGCAGCAGGAGCUGAAACUGGACCACGGUGAGCGGCACAGGGAAUAACAAAUGCAGCAUUCAGGACGGAAAUAUUAGAUUGCAGCCAAGAUAUUUCCUGAUGAAGAUUUUAAAUCAAACAGCAUCAGUGAAGGAGACCAGAGUCUUUUUGUCCUCCUAUCAGUCGAAACAACAGCUUCCAGAAUGAUUUAAUUUGACAUUUAUAGAUAUGAGUAUUUAUUUAUCUACACAGCAGAGACAGAUGAAUAAAUGACUAUCUUGUUCAAGAUGUGAACUUUGUGCAUGCACUCUGACCUCUGCAGAUUGAGCUGGGAGAGAAGAUAAUGCGACUCAUCCGGCAUUACGCAUGUGUCAUAAACUUGAUAAACUUCAUGUGAUUACAGGGCUGUUAAAGUAAAAAGUAAAAAGAGAUCUAGCUGUGAUUCAAGUGCCGAAGCACAUGUCAGCAUUUGCAAGUGUGAACGGUUGACUGUGAAACACUUUGUAAAGUGCUGUAGAGCCUGGACAAGGUUAAAGCGGCUCGACAGAGGAGCAGACCAUUCGUCAGAAAGCCCGCUGUAAAUAUCUCAUUAUCAUCCUUGGACAUUGGGUGCAAAAACAACGGCAGAAGACUAAAUAUUACACUGUGACAAGGUCAUAAAACAAACAAACACAGGCCCGCCUUCAGUUCAAAUGUUUUCUGUAUCAGGCCGAAAAGAAAAAAAACGUGAUUCUUACCACAUCUUAAGAUAAGUUCUUGAAUAAAGCAGAGAAGUGGAAGGUCAAAGUGACUGUUUUGUUUGUUUCUUGAAAUACUGUAUAUCAUAUCAUAUAAUGUAAAGAUAAUUAAAACCACACAGAAGCUAAACCAAAAGGCAAACGUAGU